rnacentral:piRNA from 1 species
UGACUGUGGUUUAUGUCAGUCUGGC